rnacentral:rRNA from 1 species
UACGUAGGUGGCAAGCGUUGUCCGGAAUUACUGGGCGUAAAGCGCGCGCAGGCGGUCCUUUAAGUCUGAUGUGAAAGCCCACGGCUCAACCGUGGAGGGUCAUUGGAAACUGGAGGACUUGAGUACAGAAGAGGAAAGCGGAAUUCCACGUGUAGCGGUGAAAUGCGUAGAGAUGUGGAGGAACACCGGUGGCGAAGGCGGCAUCCUGGACCGGCAUUGACGCUGAGGCGCGAAAGCCAGGGAGCAAACGGG